rnacentral:sRNA from 1 species
UUCAAGGACUGGAUUGGGUCCUUAAAGUAAAUGCUGCUUGUCUCACUGGUAGGCUGUGUCUUCAGGAACAGGUCCUGGGGGUUGGCUUCUCUCUCUGGUGGAUUUAAAUGCAUGAGAACCGAGUAGCCACGAGAGAAGAAUUCUGGGUGAGCCCCACAGACAUCAUCCUUGGGAAGUCACCUACAGCUAAGAGUCUAUAGCCUUGGCUCAAUUGGGAGCUUCUGCACAAAAUACCAUGAGUGAGGCUAUUCCAACAUUGUGUUGGGCAUGCUCUUGAGGGCUCCUGGACAGCCUAACACAUAGGAAGAAGCAGCCUAGGCUUUGCCUGCUCAGCAGAGCUCUGGUCCGCACACCAAGACUUACGAUGGUGCUAACAGUGUCCCUGUGUCAGGGUUGCAGGGCAGAUGCAGCUGGAGAAACGGGUGUAGAACCUCAAUCUGUGAACUAUGGAACUGUGACACAGACUAAAGUCACAGCUCACCAAGUCCCCACAGGAAGACAGGGCAAUGUGUACAGAAAGAGAGGACCUAAACAUUCCAAAUCCCAGGAAAGGUCUUGUAACCAUGAGUCACACCCCAGAUCAACAGAAAAAGACCCUGCCCACCCUGAAAAGUCCCAGCAGCCAUCUGAGGUGUCUUCCCUACAGAGAAUGCCUAUCUCCUCCCUCCAGGCUCCAUAACCCCACACCUCCAGACUCACAAUGUCAUAGGAACCAUUCAGUCUGGGAGCUGAUAGAGCCCCUCUUUACUGUACAGUUUUGAGUAAGCUGAGCAGGGCUGGGCUGGCUAGCGCGGCCCUGACUGGCUCUCUCCACAGAUGUAGCCAGCUGGCAGCUGAUUAUAAGAGCUUCUCUUCCAGGCUCCGGUUAAGCAGGGUUUAUGGCUGUUGACUGCAUGACCUUCAUUCCCCAGCAGGGAAGACAGAGCCCAGAGACUCUUCAAAUCUCCUUUAGUGUCACUUUUUGUUAUUGUCCCUUUGGGCGAAGCAAGCCAGACUGCCAAGGCAAGAGUCCGCACAGGAAGGUGUGUUACCCCAGGGCAUGGAAUGGGGGUGAGGAAUGGGCUAAGAUUACACCGGUGGGAGGAAAUGAAUUUGGGCACUGUGGUAAGGGUCAGGGCUGUGCUCAACAGGGUCUAGCCCAGAGCCAUCAGGCUGGGGACAAUUGAUCCAGCACGGAAACAGAUGACCAACCACUGAGGAUCGACUCACUCAACAGCAGAGAAAGCUAAGCCAGUCCAGUAGCCUUGAGUGCAGCUACCAGUAACAGAGGAUCAUAUUAAACCAGUCCCAGACCAGGGUCCACAGAAUGGCUUGCUCCCCUGGGGGCGGGGUAAAGCAUUUGUUUUAAAAAACAAAACAAGGCCAGGCCCUGAGAUCUCCAUCUUUGCCCAAUCUGAAAGACAGAUCGAAGCUCCAAGGGUGCAUCCACUGCCUCUUCAGAGAAAGAUCCAGAGGGAGCCUCGCCAGGAGAACUCCAAGGACAUCAGCUGCUUCCAUGCGACCUUCUUACCAGACCCUCAGCUCUUCCCCUGAAGCUCAGUCAGCACGUGGGAUUCUUGUUUAAAUCAGCCCAGAAGACAGGCGCUCUCUCAGGACAGGCAAUACACACAGGCGCAUGCGUGCAUGAACACACACACACACACACACACACACACACACACACACACACACACACACACACGCAGAGGCUGCAGCAGAGAGGGCCUCCUCUACGAGACACCUAGCUCUUCUCUCUUAUGACUGCUAUCAAGUCAACAGGAGCCCGUGGACAGGUCGUAGCAGCUUCCUAACAGAGACCUGGAGUAUCUAGACAAGGAUUCUACCAACUGAUCUGUGGCCCCGACUGCUGAGGAAAGAUCCCGCCCCCUUCAUCAAGAGUAACAGAUAAUACAAAAGAAGAUGAACUGACUACCCCAGGAACUGGCAGUUUACCUCAGGGUGUCCCAGACUGAGCACAGUAACAUUUGGGAACACUAAUUCUUUCUUGUCCAGUGAACUGUAAGACGCCAGUUGCAAGCCAAGCCUCCCCAACAGGCUGGUAGCUCAGAGUUGUGAGAAGCAAACCAUAGCCAGACAUUACAACACAUCGCCUAGGGACACGGUGUUGGAGAUGGCUGGUUUCUCUCCUUCAGAAUUGGAAGGCUCUGGCGAAUUAACCUACCAGCAGUCACUGAAAAACAAUGCUGGGCUGGAGCCCAAGAAACCAUCCAACGCCUAAAUCCUUCCCAGCCACAGUGUGACAUUUUUAGCUAGCCUUUUAAAAGAGUCUACGUGUGUGCACACAUGUUCCUUUUUGUUGUGAAUCAGGGUGCACAAACGUCAUAGCAUGUGCGAGCAGUCAGGGAUCAGCCUCGGAUGUCAGCUCUCAGGGAUUCUGAUGUUCCGUGCUGUGUUCACCAGGGUAGCUGGCCCUUGAGUUUCCAGAGAGUCUUUCUCAUGGACUCCCAAUACCUCACCCAAUAAAUAAAGCUGGAGAUUCAAAUUCAGGUCUUCCCAAUUAUACAACAUGCACCUUACCCUUGGGCUAUCUCCCAACUCUGUCUGUUUAAAUAGUAUUAGUCGCUUGCUGUCCAGGCCAGCUAUGCAUUUGUGAGCAGGGGAAAAUGUUUUGAGACAGGCUCUCACUCUAUAGCUAGGGCUACCCUGAACUAUGUAGCCCAGGCUGGCCUUGAACUCUUUGUUUCCCAGUGAGCAUCACUCUGUAGAGAAAAUGGACCAGAAGCAUGGGACUUCUUCAAAGGAGGGGGGAACAAAAUGCCAAGUUAAGGUUGCCAUCACAGGCUGGCUUCGACUUCCUACUCCUUCCACAGAGAGAGCAGGGGAGCCCAUCCCCCAUCCCUCCUGCUCCUCACCGAUAUCUUUUAUCAGACUCCGCCUGGGAACAUCAGAGGGAGAGUUCAAGCCAGCCUGGCAAUGUGAAGUGAUGCAGUCCCAGCUCUGGGCAGGGAGAACGGACAGGAAAUGUGUGUGAAGCAGCUCUGCAAAGAGCCAGGGGCCAGCUGGUGUAUCGGAGCUCAUAACUAGAGUAAUUCGGAGCACACUGUGACACCCCCCAGCUCCGUCUCCCGCCUGAAUGUCUGGCACAGGAAGCCACGAGUUUGAGCUGUCGCAAGCACGCUGUCCCUGCUGUCUGCCAGGAGGGUCUGAUCAAAGCACAGCCGGGGGUUUAGUGGUUUUUAUUUAAUAUCCAGAAAUCCAAAGGACACGUUGCUUCAAACAAUUAAAAAGACAAUGAAGUAUUACUGCACAGGGGGGCGUCACCGAUUUGGCUGCUUGGAUAUAAGAUUCCCCCUUUGUUGGUUGGCCUGCGAUGAGGAUGCAGGGGCCCGUGAGCUCAGGGCUUGCACGACUGGGUGCAAAGUGGGCACGAGAGCUGCCUGGAGGUCCACAGAGGUCUGGAGAGCUGGAGGGGAUGCGCCAAUCAGUACAGGACAAAAGGGAGCAGCUCCAGCCUUGGCCUGCAGACCUGGGGGCAGGAAUGCAGACCUGCCUGUCCCUUCCUCAAGACCCCAAGGGAGUGACAGAUGAUGACAUUUCUACCAGUUUCAUUGACCAGACCUCUCUUCAAACAAACAGUAUCAGAAGAGAAUGAAGAUCCAAGCAGUAGAAAGUUCCAGAACUUCCUUGAAUUAGCAGCUCAAAGAGAGGUUUUUGCAUUCCAGGGGACCCCAGGGAGAACUGUGGGAAAGUUUGGGGGUGGGCACUGGUUACAUGGAGGGGGUACUCCCUUUUUUCUGUCAAGAAAGCCUUGCCUUACAUGGGUGACCCUGGAGUUGGCCUAGAAAUCUUACUUAUUGGUGCCUUUGUCCAGACUAUGGUUUGAAUGCCAACUCCAUAGGAAGAGACAGCGAGGACAGCCCUUCGCUGGUGUGUAAGAACCACACUUCCAUGCUCAGUCAAUGGGGAAGGUCACGCCUUCAUGGAACCCUGGCUUCCCGAGUCCUGCAGACAGGACCAGGCAGAGGAGCCUGCUUGGGUUCCAAGGGGGACAUGUGUCCUCCAGAUAGGGAAUCCCAGAGAACCACCACCCUUCCCAGGACAAUCCUUCCCUUCAGCAGCACCAAGCUCCCCGCCCCAAACCACCUGUGAGCAGAACAAACCGGACCCAGCAGCUCCCAGAUGCUGCAGUGGUUCCGAGCCUGUGAGGAAAGCGGCACAGAACCUUCCAGUCCCGGAUAUUUUGUCAGUGUGGCUCUUUAAUGUCACCGCAUCCCACGGGGAGACACGGUAAUGCCGUUUUAAUUAUCUCUCUCCCCUACUGGGAAGCCUCCUUCACCAGAGCGGCUAUUCCAAGCCCUGUCCCCAGCUUAGCAACAGCGGAAGCAAGGGGAGACAUUAAACUGUUUUCUGGAACUUCACUGUUGGUGUUCAGUUCAGUAUCAACACCUCACCCUACAGCCCCGGUUUGUGGUAAGGUGGGGAUCAGGAAAGGAAGGCUCCCUGUAGCUGCACGGAUCCUGUCAUAUGGCAGGUGAGAGGGAGGAGUAUCAUGAGAGGGGGAGUGAACCAUAGAAGCAGGAUUCCUGAGACAAGAGCCAGCCCACCUCCAGAGUCAAGGGGAGUGAGUGAUGAAUGGCUUGAGGAGCAACAGGGUUUUCUCUCAUAGGCUGUGUUGCAGAGGAUGCCAGCAGCAUCUAUGAGGGAUGUGGGCAUUUCGUAUGUCCCACUGCCAGUUAAGACACACCCCACAAACCUACUCCUGGCUGGUUGGAGGGAGGCUGCACUUGGAGACGGGGGUCUUGCAGAUAUCAUGGGGUCAUCAAGGUCAUACAGGGGAUGGUUCCACUUCGAAAUGAAGAGGAGACUAAUACAGGAGGAGGAAUGGUGUGAAGGCAGAGAGAGGCAACCUGCCAGCACCUCUGUCUCCUACUCUCAGCCUCCAGAGCUGCCAGACGCACGCCUCUGUAAUUCUGGCUGCCGGUAGCCUGUGGUCAGGCAGCCCUCAUAAUGGAUUCCCUCCCUCUUGUAAAGUCUCUAAAAAUGUAUCCAUUCCCUAACAGGGCCUCAGAGAUGGAAGGUUCCAACUCCGAGCCGGCUCAAGCUGCAUGUUCAGAGCCAGCAAGAGACCCAGACAUGCCCUUGUACAAGCUGCCCUGGGGCCCCAAGGCAUUCUGGGUCCUGAGAGUUCAUGUAAAAGGUCAGUUAAAAAUCAGCAAACCGCAAGACAGGAUGGGGGUGGAGACACAUGUCAGGAGUCUAAAUCUUCUGAGAUUCAGGAAA